GGCCGAAGAGGAAAUAACAUACAGUACUGUUACGCACAAGAGAAACACUUCAAGCCAGAGUUCACCUGCGGAGAGUGCGGUGGACGUGGUAUAUAGUUCUGUGAUCCCCAUGAAGCAGCAACAUGUACCAAUGGUUGAAGCGAAUGAUGAGAACGUCACAUACAGCACAUUGGCUUAGCUCCAGCACAGCUUAGCAUAUUCAACCACUGCUUGUCUAUUUAUCUUGUAAACUAGUCUGGUUAUUGGUAUUAUUUGGAGAUAACAUUACUAAGAAGCAUUUCCCUGUGUUUGACGAAACUGUUGUCAACAUGUUAACAGUAUUAUUUGUUAGGCCUAAUGCACACGUAAGUCGUCUUGACUCAAAGUGCAUUUACAAACAUUUGUAAUUAUAUUUCAUAACAUGUAAUCUCCUGUCCUUGUUUCAAAUUUCAAUGUGUAAAUGUUUCUAACUGUACUAUAUUAAUAAUAUUCAUUAUUAUAUUGUCAUAAUAUUCAAUAUCAUAUUGUCUUGAAACACCAACCACUGCUUAUGUGCUGCCAUCAGACAUCCUGAUGGUAUAAAACCACUGGAAAUGUUAAAAUAGCACAAUACUGCUACCUAAAGUGUCAAAUCAGUUCAUAUCUUGUAAUGUUCAAAGCUUCCCUUUUAUAGAGUUGCUUUUCAGUUUACAAGUCAGUUUGUAUUGUAAGGUAAAAUGAAUAAUGGCUGAAUUAAAUUGAGCUGCUUCAG